AAACCCAAACAUUUUCCAGCUUCUGGGCAUGGAUAUUCACUGCUUAUUUAUUCAUUUAUUUACUCUGUAAUAAAAUAGUCCUGUUCUCACAGACUAGGCUGUGUGAUCCAUAAAUACCCUUGUAAAAUAGAUUUGUAGCAUGUAACAGAAUCCCUUAGAAUAUUCUGUGAAAAUUCUUUUUUUGUUGUUGUUGUUGUUGGUAGCACUUUCAGAACAUUUACAUCCUUCAUCCUGACAUUUUGAAAUAGAACAUUUUUUCCUACAGAGGUAAGUUUACAGCAUCAUCACAGUAUUAUAGCUUGUUUAAAAAUACAUACAGCAGAACUGGUAAUUGCAAGCAAGCUGGAGACUUGAGCAUGGGGCUGGUGGCAACUUCACAUGGUUCCUACUUUAUAAAACAAUGACAUUUAUUAAUAUUACAUCCAUCACUUGGUUAGAAAAGAUUACUUAGAUGUGCUACUCACAAGAAAUCUGUCAUUUCUCUGUGACAUCACAGGACAGGCUAUGGAAAUAGAAACACUCCGUGGUAUGGGUGGUUUAAAAAGGUGGUUAAUUAAAAAAAGGGGGUUAGGCUGUUUUAUCCCUUCGGAAUUUCAGUUCCAUUCAUACUGGGUGUCCUUCAUCCACUGGUGGGAAUGCCAUGAGCAGCUCUCAGCACAGCCCUGGUGUGAGGGGAGCUCUGAAAUGUCACUGAAAUGUGGCCCGGGCUGGCAGCCCCAGCUGGGAGCCUCUCACCCCAACACCCCCAGCCUGUGGGACCAGCACAGCUCAGCCCCCCUGGGCACCCCAAAUCUGCCUCUGCACCUUCCAGGGGCUCUGAAAGGCUGACAGCAACACAUUGAAAUAUUUGAAAUACUUGAAAUACUGGAAAUUGUGAAAAAAAUUUACAGAAAAUUGUGGUUAAGGUUGGAAUGGAGCUAAAAACUGAGCCCAUUCCAGCCCUGCCAUGGCAGGGACACCUCCCACUGUCACCCCAGGGUGCUCCAGCCUGGCCUUGGGCACUGCCAGGGAUCCAGGGCCUGCCCACCCUCACAGGCACUGCCAGUUUGCCCAGCGAGGAUUAAAAUGACAGAAGAGAUUAAAAAUACAUCAUUGCAUUGGUUUUACUUUGCACAAAUGAGACUAAAUGUAUAAAUAUAUAUAUAUAUAUGUAUAAUAAAGCUGUAGGAAAUCUCCAAACUGCUAACAACUCUUAGAAAUGAGAUAAAACAAGGAUGUAUUUCCUUGGAAAUCCCAAAUUUGCAGUUCUCUCAUGAUUUUCAUUUUCAGGUAAUUCAAGAGUCCUUCCUGGUGGAUCCUGGUUUCCUCUUUUUAUGAAACAAGUUCAGGUGUGCUUUGGCAAACGCUCUUUUCUUGGUCUCUCUGAUACUCCUCUUGUGCUUUCUGCAGUCUUCUCCCUCGGAGUUUCCACUUGUGGAAGCAGUAGGUGACGAGGGACGUCAUGAGCAGGGAGAAGAGGAUGACCAGCACCACGAUGAGGGCGAUGGUGGACGAGAGGGAGCCCUGCAGCUGCUCGCUCUCCGUGUCCCCGGUGGAGUUCACAGCAGCCAAGUUCUCAUACUCUGCUGGGGCCACAAGGGCGGCUCCGGGAGCCUCCCUCAGCUUGGGCCUCAUUGGGACUCGGGAGUGUUCUCAGGAUCCCGGAGAAGCAGAUUUAGGAGUGCUCUGUCACAUCCAGGAGCCACCUUUGGGUGCUGCAGGCAUGGGGGACGCUCAGCAGUGAAGAGCAGGAGCUGCAGCCUCUAGCACAGGUCAGCUUUAUCCCAGCUUUAUCCCAGGUGGGUCAGUUUUAUCUCAGCUUUAUCCCAGGUGGGUCAGCUCUAUCCCAGCUUUAUCCCAGGUGGGUCAGUUUUAUCUCAGCUUUAUCCCAGGUGGGUCAGUUUUAUCCCAGCUCUAUCCCAGGUGAGUCAGUUCUAUCCCAGCUUUAUCCCAGCUGGGUCAGUUUUAUCUCAGCUUUAUCCCAGGUGGGUCAAUUUUCUCUCAGCUUUAUCCCAGGUGGGUCAGUUUUAUCCCAGGUGGGUCAGCUCUAUCCCAGCUUUAUCCCAGGUGGGUCAGCUUUAUCCCAGGUGGGUCAGUUUUAUCCCAGGUGGGUCAGUUUUAUCUCAGCUUUAUCCCAGGUGGGUCAGGUCUAUCCCAGCUUUAUCCCAGGUGGGUCAGUUUUAUCCCAGCUU